rnacentral:rRNA from 1 species
AAGGAAUAUUGGACAAUGGAGGCAACUCUGAUCCAGCCAUGCCGCGUGCAGGAUGAAGGCCCUAUGGGUCGUAAACUGCUUUUGUACGAGAGAAAACCUAUUUACGUGUAGAUAGUUGAUAGUAUCGUAAGAAUAAGGAUCGGCUAACUUCGUGCCAGCAGCCGCGGUAAGACGAAGGAUCCAAGCGUUAUCCGGGUUCAUUGGGUUUAAAGGGUGCGUAGGCGGAUUUGUAAGUCAGUGGUGAAAGCCGAUAGCUCAACUAUCGAACUGCCAUUGAUACUGCAGAUCUAGAAUAUAGAUGAUGUUGGCGGAAUAUGACAUGUAGCGGUGAAAUGCAUAGAUAUGUCAUAGAACACCGAUCGCGAAGGCAGCUGACAAAACUAUUAUUGACGCUGAUGCACGAAAGUGCGGGGAUCAAAC